UCUAGACAUAGUUUCAGGCUUUUAUUUUGAAAAAUUAGCGUGAGUGACAACAUUGCGUCAGUGGUCAGCUGGUGGCUCUCAGAGUGAUAUGUGCCUAAUAGACAAAUGCGGCAAUUGUUUCUCUCGCUCCUACUAAGAAGCCAACUGACCCGGUUGAUAUACUGUAUUAUCGAACAGAUAUUUUAAAAACACCUUGAGGAUUGAUUAUAAAAAACGUUUGCCAUGUUUCUGUCGAUAUUAUGGAUCUAAUUUGGAAUAUUUUUCUGCGUUGUCGUGACUGCAAUUUCCAGUCGAUUUCUCAGCCAAACGUGAAGAACAAACAGAGCUAUUUCGGCUACAAAAAUACUCUCUAUGGAAAAAAGGAACAUUUACGAUCUAACUGGGAGUCUCGUGUGUGAAAACAUCUGAAGCUCAUCAAAGGAACAGAUCAACCCACUACCACCAAACACUCAACAGAUCAACCCAAAGGACACGCCACUACAAAUGUCGUAACAACUUCACCUCAAGCUACACUGACAGAACAUGUUCAUGUCCGGGAAGGAACUCAGGGGGACUUCAGGAGAAGCUCAACCUUCAUGGCAGAGACACACAAAGCGCUGUACAUGGCUAUACAGACAACAUUGUCAUUUGUCAAAGUCAGAUCCUACAAUGGUCUACUUCGGCACACUCCUAUAGACCCAAAUCAGACGGCCAUCUAUCUACAGCUUCUUAAUAAAUUGUAAUGAAACAGGAAGGGAGUGCGGCUCUGUAGAAGGGAGUGCGGCCCUGUGGAAAUCAACUGUGCCACAGAAGCAUGCUCGAGUCGAUAUCCACACUGAUAAAGCAAGGUCACUACAACAUCUUGGCUGAGUAAGAUCAUGUGUUUUUGACACGUCCUUAUGUUUCUACAACUUGAUUGGAGUUGAUCUGUGGUAAAUUCAAUUGAUUGGACAUGAUUUGGAAAGGCACACACCUGUCUAUAUAAGAUCCCACAGUUGCCAGUGCAUGUCAGAGCAAAAACCAAGCCGUGAGGUCGAAGGAAUUGUCUUGGAGCGCUACAGACAAUUGUGUCGAGGCAAGGGGAAGGAUACCAAAAUAUGUCUGCAGCAUUGAAGGUCCCCAAGAAAACAGUGGCCUCCAUCAUUCUUAGAUGGAAGAAGUUUGGAACCAUCAAAACUUCCUAGAGCUGGCUGUCCGGCCAAACUGAGUAAUUGGGGGAGAAGGGCCUUGGUCAGAGAGGUGACUAAGAACACAAUGGUCACUCUGACAGAGAUUAGAAUUCCUCUGUGGAGAUGGGAGAACCUUCCAGAAGGACAACCAUCUCUGCAGCACUCCACCAAUCAUGCCUUUAUUGUUGAGUGGCCAUACAAACGCUACUCUUCAGUAAAAGGCACAUGACAGCCCGCUUGAAGUUUUCCAAAUGGCACCUAAAGGAAUCUCAGACCAUGAGAAACAAGAUAUUCUGGUCAGAUGAAACCAAAAUUGAAACCUGGCACCAUCCCUAAGGUGAAGCAUGGUGGUGGCAGCAUCAUGUUGUGGGGAUGUUUUUCAGUGGCAGGACUGGGAGACUAGUCAGGACCAAGGGAUAUAUCAACGGAAUAAAGUACAGAGUGAUCCUUGAUGAAAAUCUGCUCCAGAGUGCUCAGGACCUCAGACUGGGGUGAAGGUUCCCCUUCCAACAGGACAACGACCCUAAGCACACAGCCAAAACAACGCAGGGGUGGCUUCGGGACAAGUCUCUGAAUGUCCUUGAGUGGCCCAGCCAGAGCCCGGACCUGAACCUGAUUAAACAUCUCUGGAGAGACCUGAAAAUAGCUGUACAGCAACGCACCCCAUCCAACCUGACAGAGCUUUAGAGGAUCUGCAGAGAAGAAUGGAAGAAACUUCCCACAUACAGGUGUACCAAGCUUGUAGCGUCAUACCCAAGAAGACUCGAGGAUGUAAUCGCUGCCAAAGGUGCUUCAACAAAGUACUGAGUAAAGGGUCUGAAUACUUAUGGACAUGUGAUAUCAGUUUUUUUAUUUUAAAUAAAUGUGCAAACAUUUCUAAAAACCUGUUUUUGCUUUGUCAUUAUGGAGUAGUGCAUGUAGAUUGAUGAGGGGAAAAAAAUAUUUCAUCCAUUUUAGAAUAAGGCUGUCUGAAUACUUUCCAAAUUCACUGUAUGUAGCCAAUGGGCAAGGGCCCUAUGCUGAUCAACUUUACUGAUAAACUUUGUGAAUAAACUGUUUGCCAGUCUCUU